rnacentral:lncRNA from 1 species
CGUGAUGUUCUUUACCACGAUCAGUAAACCUUAAUUUUAAUAUUGUGCUAUCAACACCAUCACUAUCCAAAUGCUCAUUAACAUGUCCAAAAAGAGUGGUGAAUAAUAAAAGACAAAAGUUAUAUUCAGGGAGUUUGAGGGGAAAAAAAGGGAAUAGAAAAUAUUAUACGGUGUACAGUUUUUACACAAACUUCCAAUCGACUAGUCUUCUUUAUUCAAUGAAAGCAUUAACUACAAGACAACAACAAAAAAUGCUAAAAAUAUUAGAAUCCGCUGAACAGAAAUUUGUAUGAUAUUUAUUGUAUCACGAUACCUUAACAAAUCUUACGCUAUGGAAUUGUAUCGUGCGUAAUACGAUUUGUAUAUAUUUUCUCUCGAUACAUGACGCAUCAUACAAUACGUAUCACGUAUCGAACGAUUUUGAUAACUGUAGUAGAUGCCCAUUAUUUUAGCAUUUUUUGCUUAGAGUUCCUUGUUUAAUUUUGUUUUCAACAAUAGACUUAGUAUGUUUUCUUUGUUUAAGCAGAUAAAUUUAGAGACUCUUUGGGAAACUGCUGCUUCUGGUGGUUGGAUAGGCCUUAUAUAUCAGUUACUUUAUGUAUAUCAGUUACUUGAUUCUAUAGGCCUUAUAUAGAAUCAAACCAUAGCUUUUAUCUACUUUGUUUGGAGUGCAUGUACAAGAAAUUGAACUUGUAGCAUAUUUACGAUUAAUAUCAUACAAAUAUGAGGAUCUUAAUCUUUUAGUUCUACUUUGGAAGAAUGGAUUGGACUGGUUUUUAUUGGCUUGGGAGAUAACGUGGUUCUACUUGGGAAGAAUGAUUGACCCAUGGUUUUUAUUUAGCUUUGGAGAUAACUUGGUUCUACUUUGGGAAGAAGGGUUGCUGUGCUGGUCUUUCUUUUAGUUUAUUUAUUUGCAAAAUUUGUUUUGGGCAAUGUAUAUUCUAUAUUCUUUCUUUGGUUCGUUACCUCUAUUUGUAUUUGAUUAGGUAGUUGCUACCUUACAAAGUAGAUCACCUCACAGUGAUGUAAUACACAGUAUUUUUGUUAAAUUAGUAUUUUAGUUUUCUGAACUUAUUAGAUAUUGUGACUAGCUAUAAAUUCCCUUAUGGAUAUAUAAUUUGUAUUUAUUUAUUUGUUUAUUACCUUUGUUUUCAUCUUUUUCUAUAAAAAUAGUAAUUAAAAUGGUGAUGGCAUUUCAUUUUAUUCUGUAUAUUAGUUUAUUUGUUAUUUUAUUUGAAAGUAUUUGCUUGAUGCGACAAUUCCCAAUUUGACUAUGUGCCCACCAUCUUGCAUACUUGCUUGCUAGGUUGGAUGUUUAAGAGUGAAGGACUAUAAGGAAAUAAAAUACCAAGUAAGGGCAGGCACCUCUGCUGGGCUAAGUGGUCUGAUGGUAAGAGCGGAGAAUGGUGUGAGGGAGAGUUUAGGGUGACUGCACCGGGAGCUCGGUCGAGAUGCGUUGGUCAGUGAUUAAACUAAGGACUGAUCUAGGGCGAGGCCGAGUUAGGGUAAACACCGCUGUCGAUUAUUGCUCUAUAGCAAACUUGGUGGGGAUAUUGCACCAGAGCUCGGCUAAGAAGCAACGGCCGCUGCCAAAGGUACAUUAGGGGACGAGAGAUUAUUGACACGAUGAGGUUUCUUUUGACCCCUUUAUGUCCUGAUCAAUACGUCGGCAACAUGAUGGCUAACUACCAAUCAAGCCUUAGUGGCAUAGCUAGGUGAGCCGCCUAUUCACUGACACAACAGUCAGCUCUUCCAAGCACGCGCCGAGCUACAAUAUGUCUAGUGAUAAAAUAGUUGGCGUGUCCAGGCACACACAUAACUAUGCUAUAUAAGACCAACUAUUAUUCUCAAAGUUACGCACAUUUAGUAUAUCUCAGCUAUUUACUUGCACUUUCUCUCUUUACCGUAUAUAUCCGGUCACUUGACUGAUGGAGAGUCGUUUUUUUCGGAAAGAGCUCCGGGAGGCCGAUCAUUGUUUUGGCCUUGCAGAGAACACAUUAAAAGCCACUAGCAGCAUUGUCAACCGUGGUUUGGUCACCGUAUGUUUAUUUCGAGUUUUCUUUCUCUUUCCAUACAUAAGAAACUCAACAUCCACAUUAUAUAUAUAUUAUAUAAUAUAUAUAUUUAUAUAAUAAUAUAUAUAGUAAGAAAAACCCAGAUAUUAUAUAUAUGAAAUUGCAUGCAAACAAGUACAAAGUAUAGGCACAAAUACGUACAUAAUUCUGUAAUCGUGCAUUGCACAAUACACGUGUAUGUGCCUAUAAUUUCAUAUUAUAAUAUCUGUGUAUUAUGUGAAUUAAUUCUGUAAUUGCACAUUGCAAUUUCAUAUUAUAAUAUCUGUGUUUUUCUUACUAUAAAAAAAAAUAUUGUGUUUUUCUUCAGUUGCAGUGCAUGAAGGAAACCAUUCUGAUGCGUCUUGAUAAUCCAAUGGUCUUUUCCAUAGAGUAGGAUUUUUCCGAUUUUCCUUUGUGGUUUUGCAAUCCAAACACUAAGCAAAAAAAGAGCACAAACAAAACAAAGCACGUGAUGUUUGGGGGUAUAGGGAUAGGUUUUUGGAAGCUUAAAGGUGGUCCUAAGACCAAACUAUAAACCCUAAAAUUAAGAGUACGGUGUACUGAGAAAUGGGAAGUGAGUUUACAUUUUUACCUCUCAUUCCUCGUGAGUUCUUAACCGGAGUUAUCAAUGGGACUUAAUUGUAAGUAGAGGUAAAAUUAAACGUUAAAAUUGUUAGUGGAAGGGAAAAAUUGACAAUAUGAUGAAACUAGAAAGAGAAUUAUUUUAAUUUGCCAGAAUAUUGUAGCAAAAACUCUUGUCAAAUUAUAGGUUUGACACAAAAUUUGGCACAAAUAUUUGCAAAAAUAUUUGACAUGAGAUUUGGCACAAAUAUUUCCGAAACUUGUACCAAAUUUGGCACAAAUAUUUGCAAGCCAUAUUAGCGGGGUCACCAAAUUACAUCAUGACCAUAAAAACUUUUUUUGGGGGAAAUGAAUCCAAUAGUCAAAAUUUGACAGGAGAUUUAGUUUGCCAAAUAUUGUCAAAUUGUUUUUUUUUGUUGUUGAUAUUUUGACAUUAUAACAAUCUAAAAUAUAGAUUUGACAAUACCAAAAUAAUUAGAACAUUUAGAAAUGUUUUAAACUAAUUCUAAAAAAAAUAAUUUAAAUCACAAAAUGGGUCCGAAGUAAAACACGAACCAAGUUUAAAAAUAAAGUAUACCCAUCGUACAUGCAUGAUAGGCAUGUGUAUAUGCAUUUCAAAGAAUUUUUUUUUGAAUGAAACGUGAAUUCAACACAUCAACAAUCUACAUAGUUUAAACACAAAAAAAAAAUCACAAAUAACCAAGCUUCUAUGCAUUUCAAAGUGUCGCACAAGCAUUUGUGGCUUUUUUUUAGGUAUAUUUUGGUAAUUCAAACUGUUUAUAUUAUAAAUCCUAUCACAAACCCAUCCAAAUUGGACAUUACCCCAUUAUGUAUAUGUUGUAGGAAGUGGGAUGUUCACUCAUACCAUAUGGUAUUUUAUAAUUGAAUAUGAUAUAUACCACGUAAGCUUUGGUAUCAGAUUGUAUUCAAUUUUUGAGAGAGAUAAUAUAGAAAAUUUAUUGGGAAAAACCGUUGAUGAGAUCCAAUUAUUGAGUAUUUUUUGAGUGUAAUGUUGAAAGGAGAUUGAAGAUGUAUGUGAGUGUGAAUUGGAAAAAAAAUUAUUAUAACGCUGAUACCACGUUAUCGUUGCCACGCGAUAUCACUUUUCAAUACUAAACUACUAUGCAUAUAUAAUGGACUCCACCAUGUAUACAUAAUAGUUAUUAACUUUUCAAAAUUGGCUAUUACAUUAAAGUAGGGCUAAUUUCCUUGACACAACCCAUUUUUUACUUAAUUUCCCAAAAUGGGUUCUUUUAACUUAAGUCUCAAACCGUGUAAAGCGCUAUUUGAAAUAGCGUUUUUAAGGACCACGCUAAAAACGCGUUUUGAAUAUGUUUUCAUUAUAUCAAAUAUACUGCUUAGAAUAUACGGAAUGAAAACGCUAUUUCAAAUAGCGCUUUAAGAAAACCUCUUUUGAAAUGACGUUUUCAUGAAAGCGCUUUUUGAAAUGGCGUUUUCAUAAAAGUGCUUUUUGAAAUGACGCUUGACUAAAAACGCUUUUCAAAUGACGUUUUUAAUUUAAAAAAAAUUCUCAAAUAUUUUUUUUUCAAAAUUUUUGAAAUAUGCCAAAAAUUUUUUCAAAACAUGCCCCAAAAGUAUUUUUUUAAAAAAUUUUGAAUAGCCCCCUGCCCCCAAAAAAGGUCAGAUUCAACAUAUAAGAGCAGUGGAGUACCUAGAGACUAGCAGUGACUGGAAUUGGAUAUUUGUUACAAACUAGUUUUUUUGUUUUUUUUUUUAUGAAAACUUUUUGGAAUCUGAAGGGAUUGUAUCUUCAUUGUUGUCGAAUUUUAGAGAAUGGACAACCACCACAUGCAUGGGGAAAAUAAACACACGGGCACAAAGUACAAAGUUACGGUUUAUAACUGUCAUGAAAACUGGUGGUCAAUGCAUCUUUUUUCUUUUCUUUUUGAAUGAAAAAAAAAUCCCUUUAAAUUCUUUUACUAUUCUGUAAAUUUGAAGUUGCGUUUUUGUCGAAGGCCAAGGCUAUUUGUUGCGGAAAUGCUAAGGUCUCCUGUAUGUAACGGCCGAUGAUUUAAACCUUGCCGGGGAUUGUUAUUCCCAUAUAAACCCAAUAAGCCGCAUUGACCCAAAUAGUCAACCUGAAGCAAAGCCUCCCAUUCUGGUGUUGUGAUUAGGGCCUUUGGGCGCUAUUGGCCCAAAUCUCUGCUCCAUGGACUACGCCUUAUGAAAACACAUUUAGAACACGCAAUAUUAUUUCGGGUCCCAGGUCAUAAUCCGAGUCAACGCAAACUAGACUCUACAAAAAAGAACCCCCAACAUCCGAUUCUUUCCAUGUUUUCUUUUCAACAACAAGUAGAAUUUAUCUACAUUUAGUUUGUUUCCAAAAAAUCGUCUAGUAAAAACCUCACUCCUAAACCCCUCACAUAAUAUUACGACAUAAAUACAAAAUAGAAAUCUAACCAAAACGACAUAUAUUAUUCAUACAAACAUAAUAAUGUUUGUUUGUAAUCAUAUUGAAACUACAAGCGUUAUGGAACCAUGUUUUCAUAACAACAUAGUGGUUUACACUAGCAACGCUAAUGCUAACUAGUAGAUUAGUUAACAAGUCUCGUCACCUCUUCUUCUGAGAAGUCGAAGUCUGGGUCAUAAACUAGUAGUCGGAUCAAAAUUAUUUUCUAUUAUCGUUUGUGUUGGAUCAUCACAUUCUUUCUUCGGCAUACUCGUAAAUGAUAUCUAUAGCCUUGUUGCAUUUCAUUUUCAUAAUCCUCGCGUUCCGAGUGCUUUUAUGACCUGGCUGUUAUGUGAUUCCCUACCGAAAAGCAUAGCUAACCUGGCCUUAUGGAAACGUGGCCAUGCACAUCGUCAAUACAUCCUUGUUCACAGCGUUUAUCGAACAAGUCUUUCCACGAAAACCUAAUGCAUUUGUCGUCUGUGACCCAGUGGGUGGACAUAAGGACACCUUGCCGAUGAAGAUGUGGCUGACCGGACACCUAGUAUCGUGCAUGAGUAUAGGUUUGUUAACAAAGCAACGUUUUCGCAAAAAAAGGACAUACCAUUUGUUACCCGACUAGGUCCGUGUACGUACGCAACGACAUGGAUGUUGAUGAUUAAUUUUCACAACCUCUUCGGCGCGUGAACCGACGACUAGCAUGCAUCAAAGUUUUCUUUCUUUUGCUUUGGCAUCUUUUUAAGUAGGUUUAAGGCAUUUCUUCACCUAAUCAGACAAUGUAUAUAUAGUCUAACAAUGAAUUAGUAAAGGGUCCAGAUGGAUUCAUUGGUUGUUUGCAGCACGGCGGCCAUGUGUGUGCGCUUUCACGUGAAGGGUGAAAGAGAAGCUAGGCUUUAAGCAUGAUAAGAUCCGUUACACCAAGGUUUGACAGAUGCCUGACGUGAAGGCCACACCCGUGACUAUGCUAGAUACAUCACAUGAGUAAGAUCCUGGAAUCCCUAAGAAAGAUGAAAACCCAUGACCUCUACAUAUAAUUUAUUUACACAUACAUGCCUUGACGUGAAGGCCACAACCCGUGACUUAUGCAUUGGAUAUGACAUCACAUAUUAAGAGCCUGGAAUCCCUAAGAAAAGAGAACAACACAUGACUUCCUACAUAUAAUUUUAUCUACUCAUCAUUGCAAGCUUGCCAGUAUGUAUGAAUAUAUAAAUGAUAUAGAUAGAUAAAAUCAUAAUGUAAGAUGAGGCAAAAUUUUAAUUAUAACUACAAAACCAAAUUUAUUUACAACAAAAACCUAUCGCAUGCUAGUAUAUAUCUAACCAGUUUGUUUAGUAAUUCUCAAAUGUGCAAAAAUAUUAUUAUAUGCCAAAGUAACUACCAUGGCCUCCUGUCUCAUUCGCGGUGGCCCUCCUAUCUUUUACUGGCCUCGGGUCGACGUGAAAGACCAUGUGUCGUGUCCCUAGUCUGUGUGGCUGUGACUGUGACAUGGCUGUGGCUGUGGCUCUGGCUCUGGCCUCUAGCCGUCGCUGUGACUCUUCCUCAUUUGAUCGGUGAACCCACCUAAACUGAGAUAGAUAUCUCUAUCUGCCACCUAGAUGCCAAUAAUGAAUGGGUCGCAUAUCCAUCGAAACUCCUCCUCGUCUCCUACUACAAGUAUGAAAGAGCUUUGAUCAUUGACAGGACAUGUAAUUGGCGAUGGGUGGUGCACAUGGUCUGACCCCAGAACUACUCGGACGUGAUGAUGAUGGCACAUCAUUUGACAAGAUGUGAUACGUAAUCUGCUGGCAAAUCGCAGGUGUAAACGUAUGAAUGCAGAUGUUCUGGGUAGCCCGACAUACUGCGUGAACUGCUGGGAGGAUGACUGCAUGUGGUGGAAUGGACUGGAAAUGCUUGUGGUAUGGCAGGGAAGUGGCUAGGACCUCCUGUGGCAUGGGUAGGGGUAGGUUCUGGUAACUUCUUCUGGCUGUCCGAUCCUCUCUGCUCACGUAAUGCUGAAUUACCUACUACACAUGUUCACUGCAUCGUACAUGUCUUUGUAAGUGAUUCGGGUCGAUCGUUACGCAGAUAGCACGAUCAAUGCGCUCAUGUAAUGGCCGCGAUGUAGCGAGUCUACAAAAUAAGUUAACCUCUAUAAGGCUCAAUAUUUAACAAUUCAAGCUAAAAAUAUAACUAACUUAAUUGGCAUUACUAACCCUAACCGUCAAAUCUCGAUCGUUGAGCCAAUCUAAUGUAUCCAUUAGUCCGUCGAUAGCUGGAUUCCCCAUAUGUACGUGUGAUACGGGGGCCGGUACCAUACCAUAUACGGAUCAUUGUUAACGCAUGGAGGCAACAUCAUGACCCACACAAGAUACUCACGCCUAUGAUGCCAGCGGUCGAUGUGCCUCGAUGGAACUGGUCCAAUCAGUAUGUGUUCUCGUUCUCCUCCUCAUGUCAAUCCAUGUCAAUGCAGGCGAGUAUCACAGCCACCGGUAUAACCUGUCUCAACCCAAACUGUCUGCAUACUCGAUUUGGUAAGAUGCCACUCAACAACCUGAGCAGACCAAGGGGAUCUACUUACCAUAUUCACUCGCAACCCGAAAAUAAUCAGUAGACCCUUAUGCAUGACCAUCGUACGGCUUCCAUAUGACUAAUAGUUUACAUUGAGAAAAAACUUAAUAGCAUGACGAGACCAACAUAAGUUAUAUGAAUUAUCAAAUUCGAAUUGUGUACAUACCUCGUCAGGUCUCAGACCGGUCCCAACUGAAUCUCGGAAACUCGGACGACAUAGGUGGACUAGUGGUCGUGCGAAAUCUAGAUCUCCAUUUGACAUAAAACAUUCAAACAUAAUAUAAGAAAAUUUUUAAUUACACAUGCAUAUAGGUGUUUAAAAAAAAAUCAGUCAUCCUAGCUUCCCAUGAUCCACCGGGGAAAUGCAUCCCCUCCCCCCUAUACAGUAAAGGUUGUUGUCCAGCAGUAUGAUCAUCCCUCGCUGCGGGCACAUAUGCGGAAAUCGCUCGCAUGCCCAAUCUGUAUGGAUAAUUAUAUUAAAACACAAGCAUUGUUAAUAGGUAAAAUGAUCAAUCUAUUAUACCUGUAAUGAAGUAGUGCUCAUGCAAUCUGCCUCUGGCCUAUCUUCAUAGCCCGCACAUGCUCGUAUAAAGCAUGACAAAACUGCACUCCCCUACUAACAUGCCCUACAAAAGCGUCCAAUUGAUAAAAGGGGAGGUAUGCCGACCCUCCCCAAGUCUGGGAGUACUUUGUGAGCAGUAAAACCACCAAUAGUUGAAGUAUAUAAGCACAUGGCGUGUCACUGUACCUAACAUCAUCUGCGUGCCUGGUAGGAUUCGAAAGUGCGACGGGCCAUCAACGACAAUCCCCAAUGGCCAUAUCAAUAUCCUCGCUGCAGGCUGGUAUAACAAACCGAAUGCCUGCAUGCAUAGAUCCUGACACUAACUCCUGGACGUAACGAAAGUCCUGGGUGUGUGUGUAGGGGCACUAUCAAUGGGUAUCUAACACGAUGGCAAUAUCCUAUAACAUGAUGCUAAGCCUCCCCGACUGGUAGAUGAAAUGUAUGUAUCCUCCGGUCUCUAACGCUCUACUAACUGAAUGCGUGAUCAAUCGUGGUCCCAACAUCGACCAAGUCGAUAUACACCGUAAGAACCCAGCACGCAAUACGUACCUACAAACACGUGGGUCUAACUCUCUGUCAUAUAGUCCUGAGCCUAACGUCUGGCAUGCGAGCGCAUCUGUACCCUAUGCACAAAAAUAUUUUAAAAAUUAAUAUGUUACAAUAAAAUUGUUACUUUUCAUAACUAUAACUUCAUACAUACCAACAUGCUCCCUAUCUUAGGUGGAUCGGUGGUGCGCCUGUAAUGUAAGUACAGUGCCAUCAAUAGGCCUGCGAACCUACAGUAUCCUAGUUCUGUAAUGUCACAUAGCAAGUCCAUAAAUACAGUUAAUAUGUUAUCGUAUGAUAAAGCCAUGAGUUCUAAGGUCCAAAUAUACAUCCAAAUGACAAAAUUGAAAUAAUCAGUACAUCUAAAUAUUACUGAAAUAGAAAUAUAAAUAAACCAUAAUUUCCACCAUUUCAAUUUGGGACAUUUACGCCUAUCAUGCCCUUGUUUCCCUUACCAAUACCGCAAUUAUUGUUUUGACGUGUCUGGGGCUUACAUCCUCUUAUGGAUUCGUUUUGUUACUCCAGAUGUGGGAUCUCCGUCGGCGACUCGGAUGGGGAAUGAUCUUAGGACCAUCAUAUGCACCCUACUUUCAUGUCACCAUAUGUUCGAACGAUGUGUUGUACACUGAGUAUAAACAUCCAUUUAUACUUAAGAUCAAUAAGUGUCAUUGUUGUCCCUGCCCGUUUCGUGCACACGGCCAAAAUUGGUGCGAGCAAGGAAAUGAUAAUCAUCUAAUUUGCGCAGUCACAUGAUGGGGUUCAAAUAAACGGCAUGUUUAUUGUUCCCUUGCGUGCCUGCUACACUUGUACAACCUCUCAGAACCAGAUGCCCGGAAAUUGGAAGAUAAUAAUAUGGUAUUUGUAUCAGACAUUAGAACUACAAAAGAAUGGCUGUAAUCACUGGUUAUAUCAGACAUAAGUACUAAAACUUCAAAAUAAUCUUUAUACAUUACCAACUACGAUGGUUUACUUAUCCCCCGCCGAUCUAACUUGCUACGCUUCUAACUUAGCUGCACUUUGGAUGGUACCUCACCUCCUUAGCUAAAGCACUUUCAAUUUUGUCUUCUUUUAUCAUUGAAAGUUUCCACCAGACGUUAGAAGGUAACCUCAACACUUGAAGUUAAUGGGCAGUUGUGUGCACUUCUGAGGACAUUUUGUAGCACUCUGAAGCAUUGGUUUGUAAGCCCCAACGAUAACCUUCGUCAUGUGCCAAUGUCCACUUCCUUGGGUCCUAAUUGCACAAAGCAUGAUAUGCUCUGGCCGCCGACUAUGAAUUCGUUCUAAUUUUUUUUUUUGUUAUUCAUCAUCCAUUGCCUCGUCAAACUUGCGUCACUUGAUGGGCAAUCCCAGCGUUCCCGAUCAGAUCUAACUUUCACGUACCAUUUUUUUUGUAAUUACUUCUAAAUUGUCUAAGGCAAUAUCUGGAUCCCAAUGGGUGCCCUAGUCGUGCUGUUUCCCAUUUCAUGUUUGACUGCGCUAAUUAUGGCUGUAUGUCGAUCAGAAAUCAAUGUCACACCUUCCAGCCCUGGACAAUCAAAUUCCCUGAUAUGUGGAUAAACUAUGACCAAUCGUGAGUAGUUUUCCUGAUUCAACUAACGCGAAGGGUAGGGGAAAAUAUUAUUCGUAACAGUUUUUUUGCCAAUACAAUCAACAUGACUCCAGUAUAACCUCCAUAAAGAAAAGGACCGUCGAUUCUAUGACUGGCACAGUGCUUGAGCCUUCAAUGCAGGCCGAAAUGCCCAAAAUAUUUCUGUCCUAACGCCCUAAUGCCCAUCAUACCCAAGUCCAAUGUGUCUAAAAUCACAGUUGUCCCAAGUUUCUCAACUCCAACCGUCUCAUAAACCUGGGUAACUUUUCGUAGCUGAAUCCCAAUAUCCAAAAACCAUCGCCAUAGCCUUUGUUCGUCAAGCCAUUCUUCUUGUAGGAACAGUAAAAACCAGAAGGAAUUUUUACCAUUCUCAACAAUGGAUGCUAUUUUCAAGGGGCCAUGGUCUUCCUAUACACCACAACAAACAAACAUUUCAAUUUACCAACGAAGGGCUGAACAAAUAACAUCAAGACAUUUACUUUAAAUUUUAAAUUGGAACCCACUACCGCAACUUGUGUCCUUAAUCAAGUGUGCAAUGAUGUUGAAUUAAUUAUUGCGCUGAUCCAAACUCUCCAUUCCAUGUAAACACGUAUGAGGCUCGGGUAUUGCUUUGAUCUCACAGAAGAAAACAAUGGUUGCUUCUUCAACCAAGGAACGCAGUUUUCCAAGAGCAAUCUUGACUGCACCUGGUGCUCAAAUAGUUUUAUUUGUUUCUACACCAUUAUAGUGCUUAUUUUUCUUAACGUGAUACCAGUUACAUAGCACGGAUUACCGCAUCCUUAUCUUUUGAAAACCAUCCCUUUUGCAAACUACGAGUAACUCUGACCAUGUCGGACAACCAUCAUCUAAGUCUCGACGCACCUACUACAUCAUCUGCCCUAACCAAGUGCGAAAAAAUGGAAUAUGCGGAUUGUCAUGUAAGGCUUCACCAACUUUCGGAUCUUCCUGCCCAUCGUCAUCGAAGUCGUCAGUUCUUUAUUUUUGUUAGUAGAAUAUCAUACUCAUCUGAAUUGUCAGACUGAAAACAGCCGCAUCUCAUUUAUCUUGGGUCCCAGUCUCGCCUAAGGCAACAGGCCUUUCCACAGGAUCCACACUUCCACUGGCACCUCCCCGCUCUAUUCACUCACCUUGGCUAGAGGUUUACACAUUCGUUGUCUCGUGCUUCGCUGAUAAUGGGCUUCGUCUACUCUGCCCAAGUGACAACUUUGAGUAAAUGACCUAGUUUUUAGAUAAGUCUCCCCUCCCUGACCAAUAGUUUCACCGUAAUAUUGACAUCUGCCCAACCCACAGAUGUAUGACUUCCACUGUUAGUCAUUGGUUAACCUCCUCCUUCGCAAUGUAUAUUCAACAUGCUGGGGGUCGGGAUGUCCGUAAGGGAUAUUCCAAGACCAUUUUCAAGGUCCCUGUCGUCAUUACUUGGCAAAUUCUUAUAUAUCAUGAUAUCCCCUUUCGUCUAUGCGGGUAUCCUCAUAUGAACUUUAUACUCAUAUGUUCUCCAUACGCAGCUACCAUUGGUAUAAUCAUGGUCACGUAUUAUCGCACCUGAGGUUACCAAUUCAACUAAUAACGCACAGUUACAUCUAUAUCGUAGGAUAUACCUUCUCGGCGAUCUCGUAUUAUCUUUUCCCCCCAUAAAACAUAACCAUUGUCGUCAUUACUUAGCUCCUCCUCAACGCAACCUACCAAGUAAAAGUUUCAAAUUAAUAUUUAUACAAUUCCUAAAAUAUACAAGUCCUAAAACGUGUUGUAAUCUAAAUAUUAGCAUUUGGUUCUUGUUCAACAGUAAUCCAAAAAAAAAAAGAAGCAACUAAUAAGGAAAAUCUGUCAGUUUUUACAUCAGAUUGUAGAUAAAUUAAAUCAAAUUCAUUAGAGUAUUCCAUAUUUACAAGUAUUUUUUAUGUUCAACCCCAAAAAAAAUAACUUCUUGUUAAAAAAUGCCUGAAAUCAAAACAAACCUUAACUACUAAUUUUUUAUUUAUUAUUUUUUGUUUGCAAAUAGCUUAUGCUUUGGGGUAGAAUGUAAAAAAUUAUGUGUUUACCUAAACCCCAAAGUUGGCAACAUCCUACAUUUUUUGGCUUUAACUAACCUUCUAACCUCCUAUUUUUUCAUGCUUGCCCAGCCCUCCCACCAACAGAAUGGAAUACAAGCCACCCCUAAUAGCCGAUUUACACCACAUUUCCCUAAAUCCAAAAGUAGUAAGCAUAAGAACAAAUAUUAGAAUAAGCUUUGUCAUAAGCUUUUCAAUUUAAGAGGCUUCUCUCUACUUUUUUUUCCGUUUCCAUUCGUCGAUGAUUUCAUUAGUACUCAGGACCCCACCAUCCAACAUGUUUUCUACUCUAACACCCAGCAAUCCUGAUUGUGUUUAGAAUUAGCUUAGGUAAACCCCCUUUGAGUGAUUAGGCAAUAAUUGAAGCGAAACGGUUUGAAUUUUGUUUGGCCAAAUUACUUAUGUUUGUUUUUAGACUGUAAAAACAAGGAUGUCUUUAUACAAGGACGAUUUUAAAAAUCAAAAAACGCGAAAAAAAUGAGACUUAGUCCAUGUUGCGGAGGCUUUAGGCCCGAUAGGCCCAAGCAGUACUUGGCCAUGUUUUUUUGCGCUAUGAUGAAUAUCUACACAACUAAUCUACUAAGGUAAGGUUUAAUGUCAAUCCCGAUUCUAAAUUACCUAUAUUUUUCAGAAAUAAAAACUUUUGUAAUUUAAUUAAGAUAUUUUAUUCGUUCUAUAGUUAACUUGAAAAGACUUAUAACGUUUGGGAUAAAAUUUAAGAGACUAAUAUUCAAGUUAGAGGGACAAAGUGCAAUGUUAAGGGACAAAGGGACCAAAUCCGUUAUCCCUUUCCGUUAACAAAAAAAGUAAAAAAUAAAUAAAUAAAAACCUCAUCAUGCAUGUCUACCAAAAGAAAAGAGAAAGAAAAGAAAAAUAUAAAAUAAAAUAAAAUAUAUAUUUAAUUAAUAAUUCAUAUAUACGUUGUGGUGUCGUGUAAAUGAGAGAGAGAGAGUAGCUGAGAACGAAAGAAAGAGAAGAAACGAAGGAGACAUCACUAAGGGAAGAGCAGAUAAAAUUUGUUGAGAUAAAUUCAAAUUCUUUCUCCACUUCCUUGCUAAUCUAUAUGUUUCAAUUUAUUAUAGCAACUUAUAUUUAGUGUAAACAAUCUGUCAAGAUAUCCCAAAAUUUUAUCAUUUGAAAUCUUUCUCUGGAAUCAAAUUUUCGUAUGCAUUGAAUACGAUUUACUCACUGUAUCACAGUAGUUUUUUGCACACAAUCCUCAUACGAUACCGUUUGAUUUGAUUCAAUUGGCAUAUGAAAGAUACUUUAAAUAUCUACAGUUCAUUCAUGAAUACAAUAUUUCCAUUUAAGUUUAAAGGUUUGGGGAAAGGGUCGAAAACAGACUUGAAAGUACGAGUAAAAACUGAAUUAAGUUAUGUUUUAUUUCAAACCCACUGUGGUCUUUUACCAUAACUUCUUCAUAGGAAAACAUUUUUAAGUUUGAUUCAAGUGUCCAAAAAUAGCUAUUUUAAUACCUACAAGUUUAUGUGAAAUAAUAAUUUUUCCAAUUCGAAUUUAAUGGCUCAAAACGACUUGAAGUUCGAGUAUAAAACCGAGUUAGCGUCAGAUUGUUAUUCCAAACCCCUGUCGGUAUUUUUCGCCAUAACUUCUUCAUACGAAAACAUUUUUAGUUGAUUUUCAAGUGUCCCUAGAUAGUUAUUUUAAAUACUUACAAGUUUAUAUGAAUAAUAUGUUUUAAUUCGAAAUUUAAUGACCCAAAUAGACUUUGCAAGUCCGAACAGAAAAAUUGAAUUCCUUAAUUUUCCAGUUCCGGGGCUAGUUGACAAUUUUUCAACUAGUUUAGAGGCUUUUAUCAAAAAUUAAUUUUUUAAAUAUCAAACAUGUAUGGUUAGCCUACUACUUGAAAAAUAAACUAGUUACAAUAAUAAAUACUUAAGUAAAGAUAAUUAAUCGUAAUUCUGUCAAGCAAAUGAAAUGUAUAGAAUCGAUCCGAUUAGCCUAAGGAUCAAGACGAACGAGUUUAACACAAUACCAGCAAGCAAUGUCAGUAACCUUAAUCUCUAAAGUAAAUAUUACUUUUAUGCUAUGAUAUAUGUACAAAGUUAUGUUUAUGUUAUGCAAAUCAAAUCCAUGGCUUAUAUGAGAAUGUUUUGAAAAGAUUUUUGUAUGUAUAAAUGCCUAUGUACCAUCAUGUUCCUACCUUUCGUGAAGGUACUCGGCCAGCAUACAUGCCCGACCAAGGGGGUGUGGAAAUCACGUUAAUCAAACCCGACUAAGGACGGGAUGUCAUAGUACAUAAUUAUGUUUUUUCAGAAAGUAUGUGACUUGGAUAUAGUCAAAAUACAAGUACACAAGCAUGAUUUGAACAAGUUAUUGCGAAAGAUUAAAUGUUUUAUCUUUCUCUACGCUAUUUAUGUUAUAUGCAUCUACCAUGAUAUUUUUAUUUUUGAUAUGUAUGAUAAAACCUAUAUUUAGAGAAUUAUGGUUUUCGCUAAGUAAAUGUGCUUAGGAAGAUGUUUUUUGACAAUAUUUCAGGUGAUAAAAGGAAAGUAGUGGAGUAAAAUAUUAGAACCAUGUUAUGUAAUAAGAACAACGAAUUUAAUGUAAUAUACGUCCCGGACUAGAAAGUCCGAUAGCUUUGAAUUGUAAUGUAUUAAAUUAUGUAUGAAUGUUAAGACAGUAAAGUCUUUCUUACCGUCAUG